UGGGCAAUCUGCCCCUAGCUCUGGGAUAACUCCGGGAAACCGGGGCUAAUACCGGAUACGACCUCGAGCGGCAUCGGUGGUGGUGGAAAAUUUUUUCGGCUGGGGAUGGGCCCGCGGCCUAUCAGCUUGUUGGUGGGGUGAUGGCCUACCAAGGCGACGACGGGUAGCCGGCCUGAGAGGGCGUCCGGCCACACUGGGACUGAGACACGGCCCAGACUCCUACGGGAGGCA
rnacentral:rRNA from 1 species